GCAGUGAUCGUUUAUAGUGGUUAGUACUCUUGCGUAGGGCCGCAGCAACCCCGGUUCGAAUCCGGGUCACGGCA